AUCCAACCGACGAGUCUUAUAUAGGACGAAACGCGCUUGCUGGAU
rfam:Schistosoma haematobium scaffold449_1, whole genome shotgun sequence.